rnacentral:lncRNA from 1 species
AGGCUCAUUCAAUGUCUGGAGCACGCGUCGGCCACUCCACCUCGGGCGCUCUGAAGCCGGCCGCAUGGAGACUGGGGGACGGUGGUAGGAUGGUCCUAGACCCCUUCCCUCUGUUUCUGCAACCUUGGUGAAUUGAAAAGGGAUCAAUAUCCUUUAUCAGCUCUACCAUACCAGAUGGCCAAGGGACAGUGGAAAAAUGGCAGGGCAGACCCCCUUGGAUUUGCCCACGUGGAGUUUGGAUAUUUACCUGGCUUCUUUGUCAAGUCUUGGGCCUGAUGCAGGUAAGUGUGGCGGGGCCCUUGGAGAUCUGUUGGAACAGUUGCAAGGGGCCACUGUAGACCAGCAAUCGCCAUGGCUGCAGCAUUGGUGCCAAGCAAGAAGUCCCAUCAUGUUCCACACACCAAGGCUGAGGAGGCAUAGAGUUACCUGCUGCAGAUGAGUAGAGUAGCAGCCCUCUGUCCUUCCAUGAAAGGAGACUCCAUGGGAGACAAUGGUACGUUUCUGUGCGGUCACUAGCACCCUCAUGACUUGCUUACUCUUAACACUUACUUUUUUAACAGGUUGCAGACGUAUGGCCACCGGUUCAUGUAGUCAACAGGUCAGGGGGGCUGUUGCCACCGAAGGAAGGGGGAUAGUGCUGACAAGACUGAUGGUAAUGAUGACAUCUAACGUACAUGGAGCAGCUCUAUCUGCCAGACACUAAGGUAGUUUAUUAACAGAGGUAAUUUUAGCCUCUGGGGCAUAUAUGGGAAUGUUUGAUGGCAUUGAUUUUUAAAUUGUAAUAAUGGGAAAGAUAGUAGUUUGUGGAUGAAGUGCUGGUAUUAUCUAGUGGAUAUAAGCUAGGGUUGCUGGGCCUCGGUGAUUAAGAGCUCUGGCUGCUCUUCCAGAGGACACAGGUUUAAUUCCUAGCACCCACAUGGCAGGCACAACCACCUGUAACUCCAGUGUCAGAGCAUCCAGUACCUUUGUCUGACCUCUGGAGGCACUGUACUCAAGUGAUGCACACACACGACAAAUGCCUCCUCACCCCCAAUAAGAUAAUACAAAUAUUAUACAAAAA